CUGACUCUCUAAAAUAAAAUUAAUCAAUCAAUUAAAAAAAUAAUAGGUUUGUGAACUGAGGCAAACUGGACUUUCAAAAAUAACCUUUUUUUCUAGGUGUUGAAGAUGAGGAGUGCCUUAUUCUGUAAAAAUACUAGUAGCAACAAGAAUUGACACACAGGAGAAACUUCUUUAACCACUUUCCACUUAACUGGCUUGGCAGACCCUGCUUUCCACCAUCAGCAUGUUUACACCUAAUAAAUGCCACCUUUUGGGGGACUGCCCACUUUCACUCCCACUACUAGAACUUUCUAUACUCUUUAGUGUUAGUUUCAUUUCAACCCCAUUUUGUCAUCAUGGUUAUUAUUACAAACACAAGUAAAAUAUCGUGUAAAACAAUCAAAUGUGAGUAUAUAUAUAAGGCUGAAAGCUGAAUGACUGGAUACAGGUGAGUCACGAAAAACAAAAAUUACCACCAAUUUUGGUUGUUGGGGCAAAAACUGUCCCCGACUGUGACGAAAAAGAAUCAUCAAAGCUCAAACAGGUACUGAAAUCAGAUUGCUUGGCUUUAAAGAAAGCAAGCUGGUCGUCUUAGAUUAUGCAUUACUCAUGUGGUUGAAAGUGCAGCUAAUGAAUGUGCUCAAAGAAAACUCACCGUACAUUAAAAGAGAGACAAGUUAUUAUAUAUUUAUAGAUUCGCGUCUACAACCCACUCCUGUCUUGAUUACAUCAGACGAAGGACCUCUCCUAGAAGUCUGAAUGUUACUGCCUUCCUGCAAAUACCACCUUUCCUUAUGCUCUCCAUUAUGUAUGAAAUAAAUCACACCCAUUUAUAGCACAUUAUUAACAUCUUAAAUGAUGGCAUGUUUUGAUUUGCCUGAAUGACUCCUAACCCCAAAAUUUAUCUUGGAGAAAUUGUGUGUGUGUGUGUGCGUGCGUGUGUGUGUGUGUGUGUGUGUGUGGUGAAAUCUCUGCCAGUUAGUUUUCUUGUAUUGUUUUUCUCCUGAAAGAGCAUCUCAGGCAGACAGUUAAACUAACCAAACAUUCCAGCUAGUUGAACCCCAUGGAAAAGUGGUGUUACUACUUUUCUGAGAAAGCAAGAAAAAACAAUGAACUCAUAGCACCUCUUCAUGUUUACAAUAUUCCAAGAAAAAUAUUAUUUUUCUAUUCCUCCUUUAAGUGAGCCUAUAAAAACAAUAAUUCUAUUUUUUUAAUAGAUCCAAUGAAAUGGUACUUGGUUCUGCUGCUAAAGUUCUCUCUUUAGCAGAUCAUACAGUUCUUGGGAUAAUGGCUUUCACAUGUUAAGAUUUCAUGUAUUUCUAAAACAUGAUCUACAUCCAUUCUUAAAAUCGAUUUUCCCAAAGAUUUUGAAAUACUCAAUUUAAAUGGGCAAGUUUUUCAAUUAAUAUAAAGUAAUAUGUUAACAAUUAACAUAAAAUAAUAUGUUAGCCCUAAAACCUUCUAUGACUAUGACUUUAGCAAUAAUAACAGUAAAUACUUAUUUUAAACAGAAGCAAUGUGGUAUGUAUAGAAAACUGAGUAUAAUUUCUAGUCUUUGAUAUUGUAAUUACUCUAAUCCAUAUAGCCAACAUGAAGGCAGGUAGGUGUUUUGCAGAUCUUUCUAUCCUCCGACCUUUUGCAUAUGUGAACUCAGAUCUCUGUAUAUCCAAGCAGAGAUAUCAUAAAUAUCUACUCAGGUGGAAACUGGACUUUUAAGAACUAGUUUUAAUGCAAUUUUGUCCUUUGUGUAAAGUGUUUUUAAAAAUCUUGAAUUUAACAAAUACAUGAAGGACCCAACAUUCAUUUUCUCUGUCCAGAACAUUUGUUUCAUAGGCAUACGAGUCAGAUGAAAUAAAUAUUUGCUUUGGAGCUGUUAAGAUGUCACAUAUUUGUUAACUUAUGUGUGUGCUCUUUAUUAAAUCCAAUGCUUGGCAAAGCAUCAAUUCAGUCAGUAAUGUAGAUUUCCCCACACUGUGUUUUGUUCUGUAAGUGGUCCAAACUCAUAAAACACAUUUUGCCCACUAUCUACCCGAAACCUGAGAUAAAAUUUACCUUCUUAAUCAGUCCAAAAAACCCUCAUGAUAUAGUAUCUAAAAUUUUCUAGUCUCCAAAAUAGCAUUUGAAUGUGUGUAUCAAUCAUGAUUAUAAUAUGGAGUCUAUGGCAUUGUAUUUAUGAUUUAUAUUAGAAAAACCCCAACAUAAUACAUGUUGCUAUUGCACUGUUUUGGGUAUAAUGCAAGCCAAGUGAUGACACCCGGAAUGUAAGAACUCAAUGUAUUUAAUAAUAUCAUAGCCAAUGUGUCUCAAAGUUAUUGCCAAUGAAAAAAGGGGAAAAAAUGUUUUUACACGUAGAUAUAACAAAGGAAAAGUUUCCCUAAACAAUGCUUACCCUACUACAUGAAACAUUCUUUUAUGUGUAUAAACCCUCUACAUUGAUUUCAUGAUUCUACUAAAGGGUGACUGUUUGGAGCCAGUUAUCUCUAAGUCUCUGUUUCUGCUUGCCUUUCCAGCAGAGGCACUGACUCCAUUUUCAAGAACGCUAUCCUUUCAAGGAUGUUUGUACAGCAAACAGCCUUGAAAGACAGAGAAUUAUCUUCCUCCAGAGAAAAGGACAACUUUGUUUCCUACACAUUAAAAUAAAGAUAAGGGCAGGCAGCCUUGUGGCCAAUUAUAAAAGCCUCAAGGUCCCUAAGCUCAAAGUUACGCUCCUCUGGACCCUCUGAGUGCCACUCCGUUGGAAGUGAGGCUUGAGAAGCGCAAAUGCUGAGUCUGAAUGCCACAAUUGCUUUGUCUCUGAGCCAGGUGUCUCGUGUCUUCUGCCAGCAUCCAUGAAACUGGCAGGCUAACUGGUUAGCUGCAAGUCAGGUGAAAUCUCAGCCAAUAUUCCCACAUUAUCAAUUUAACCGUAAAGCCAAUUUUGCCAAUUUAUUUCUUCUUCUUAGUCUCAAAGCAAAUAGAGAAUGUCUUUUUUUCUGCAGCAUCUGCUUACUAAUACUAUAUGAUGCUACAAAGUGCCUUCCAGAAGCACCUAGUCUUUUAGCAGAAUGAAAUCUCUUACUCAUCUGUCUUCACCCAGGAUCCUCCCUUAGACAGAGAGAGCUUCCUGCUUGUCCUUGGGACUCCCAUAGUUAGCAAAUCCAAUUGCUCUAGAUGGGUUUAUGUAAGAAGAUCUGUAGUAAUGGGAAACACCAGCAACAUACUCAGAAAUUUAGAUUCAUUCUGUGUCUCAGUGCUUCUAAAACUAUAAUAGCAGAUCAUGAGGUGCUUCAAGAUGCAUGUCAUAGUCAUGUAGAAUACAACAGCAGUUCCAGUGACCCACGUUUUUUCUGUGCAUCCUGUUUACAUCAGCAAGGAAAGCUCUGAUUGGGUCACCCCUACUGGUAGUUACUUGGCAUGCCGUACUUCUCACUAUAUCCUCCUGGGUGUCUUCGGCUCUGGCCUAGUCAUUUCAGCCAGGGUAAGCAGGGUUAUUCUCAUUGAACAUCCAUACACGUGGCAAAAGCCAUAGCCACUUGAAGAAUAGCCUGAUGUUGCUCUCCUCUGCAGAGAGCCAUGGGCAGAUAGAGCCAUCAUCGCCUGUGUGUUACUGCCUCAAGUAACAUCUUACCAUCCUUAUACCUCGCUACAAAGUUACAAAUACCUGCCAGCUAAACAUCAAAUUAGAAAACUCUAGAGGUUAAAACAAUAGAUAAUUUUGCUCCAUCCCUUGAUCCGGUGGGUAAGUUGAGUUACCCCAGAGCUAAGCCAGAUCAGAACCCCGGUUUUCCAUUUCCCAUUCUGCCUGAUUUCCACACAAUUCCCAUAUGUGGGCAACACAAUCCUUCUUGGGAAGGCGACAAGACCCUUAGCCCCCCAAAUGCAGAGCCCACAUUUUCAGGCUCUGCCACAGUGCGUGCUCCGUGGCGUAGCAUGUUCUCUCUCUCUUCUCUCUCUGUUUCUCUCUCUCUCCCUUUUCCUCGCUCCCUCCCUUUCUCUCUAUGAAUUCAUUGAAUCACCUAGAUUUGCAUAUAACCUGGUUCGGAUUGCAUUUUUAAUGUUUCUCACUUCUUCCAUGCUUCUGCGUGAUACCACUUCAUUUUAAGAAGUCUCCGAUUGCUAUUUUAUGAAUCGCUUAGUACCAUGAACAAUCCCAAGAAACAAAUUCUCAGGUUUUAUAGCUCUUCAUGCUUUCCAAGCCUGCAUAUCACAGUCUCCAGGAGGCUUUCCUGAUGUAAGAAUGGACGCCAGGCUCUUUGUACGCGUUCCAGUAACCAACAGCACGGCCUCUGUCAUCGCAUGACCCAAUCAUCUCAUCACUGCCUGAUGACAUGGCUGCCUCCCCUACUGAACUGCGAGCUCCUGGUGGGCAAGACCCCACAGCUUAUUCGGGCCCCAGACAGAUGUCAAUUACAGUGCCUUGUCUUUGGAAACACGGAGCAAACUUUCUCUAUGCUGUCCACGGAGCAAGUCAACAAAGACGUUUUCACCGAAAUUCAAACACCGAGAGCAACAAAAAGACUAUAUAUGUCCUCAAGAGAGGCGCUCGCCAGCUCGUCUUUCCAGAACUACUGUCGGGAUCCGGGUCAAUGCCUCCCUUUCACCAUCACCGUAGACCAGGAGCAUGAUAGGAGGAGAAAGAUGCGUGAGGAUCCAUUUAAAGCUAGU